rnacentral:rRNA from 1 species
UACGUAGGGUGCGAGCGUUAAUCGGAAUUACUGGGCGUAAAGCGUGCGCAGGCGGCUUUGCAAGACAGAUGUGAAAUCCCCGGGCUUAACCUGGGAACUGCAUUUGUGACUGCAUGGCUGGAGUGCGGCAGAGGGGGAUGGAAUUCCGCGUGUAGCAGUGAAAUGCGCAGAUAUCGGGAGGAACACCGGUGGCGAAGGCGGUUCUCUGGGCCUUACCUGACGCUGAGGAGCGAAAGCGUGGGGAGCGAACAGG